AUGACUUUGAUCCCCAUCUUCAUCUGCACACUGCUCCUCUGGACUCAAGGAUCCAGAGGGAAGGUAACAGUGACCCAGGAUUUAGUGAAAUCUGCUCUUCCAGGAGACACAGUCACCAUCAGCUGUAGAACCAACCCUGCAGUGUAUUAUCACAGCAGCUAUGGACAUUAUCUACACUGGUACCUGCAGAAACCUGGAGAAGCUCCUAAACUCCUGAUCUAUUAUGCAUCAAACCGUCAGUCUGGGAUUCCAGCUCGUUUCAGUGGUAGUGGAUCUGGAUCUGACUUUACUCUGACCAUCAGAGGAGUCCAGACUGAAGAUGCAGGAGAUUAUUACUGUCAGAGUGUUCAUAGUAUUGAUGUGUACACUUUUGGUGGCGGCACAAAACUCUCAGUUGGACGUUCCUGCCUGUCUGAGCUGUAGACCGUGUUGGGUCUCCUAGGUGACAGCCCGCCCACCCUCACGGUCCUGCCCCCCUCCAGUGUACAGC